UGGAACUAUCAUCUUGAGGCAGGAGUUCA
rnacentral:piRNA from 1 species